UUUGUUGAUAUCACAACAUUUCAGCUGAUGUACUCUCCAGCCUUCAUCAGGUGUUCUGGUAGAAUUUCGAACCCAACUCUUUAAUUAAUGGGGUAUCUUU